rnacentral:rRNA from 1 species
UACGUAGGGUGCGAGCGUUAAUCGGAAUUACUGGGCGUAAAGCGUGCGCAGGCGGUUCGUUGUGUCUGUGGUGAAAGCCCCGGGCUUAACCUGGGAAUGGCCAUGGAAACUGGCGAGCUGGAGUCUGGCAGAGGGGGGUGGAAUUCCGCGUGUAGCAGUGAAAUGCGUAGAGAUGCGGAGGAACACCGAUGGCGAAGGCAGCCCCCUGGGCUAAGACUGACGCUCAGGCACGAAAGCGUGGGGAGCAAACAGG